rnacentral:rRNA from 1 species
GCGUGAGGGANGACGGCUUUUGGGUUGUAAACCUCUUUUAUCAGGGAAGAAACGAUGACGGUACCUGAUGAAUCAGCAUCGGCUAACUCCGUGCCAGCAGCCGCGGUAAUACGGAGGAUGCAAGCGUUAUCCGGAAUUAUUGGGCGUAAAGCGUCCGUAGGUGGUUUAUCAAGUCUGCUGUCAAAGCGUGCGGCUUAACCGCAUAAGGGCAGUGGAAACUGAUGAACUAGAGUGCGAUAGGGGUAACAGGAAUUCCCAGUGUAGCGGUGAAAUGCGUAGAUAUUGGGAAGAACACCAGCGGCGAAAGCGUGUUACUGGGUCUGCACUGACACUGAGGGACGAAAGCUAGGGGAGCGAAAGGGAUUAGAUACCCCCUGUAGUCA